UAGGUUUAAUAAUAAGUCAAUUCACUUUAAUAUUACAAUUAUUAUCCUGAAAUCGGUUCUACUGAAAUGAACAUGAUGUGCGUUUGUAAAACGUAGAAGACAAAUGCACGAGUAGCUGCCUCUUAAUUUACUGCCUAAAUCCAACUAACGCGCAACAAUGCAGCAUGGCGAUUAUAAAUUACACAACUAUAAAAUUUUGGUAUUUAGAUCAACACGAUUUAAUGAGAAGAUUAUUUUCGGGAGCGCACCAAGUUGUUUUUUACCUAAUAUAUUGUCAAACAAAACAAGCUA